GAAAGACUGCCCUGAGCUGAAUUAAAUUCUGUUUGCUGAGGGAGGGAGGUGGAGGAGCUGUGCUUCACAACCCAGCUCCCUUUGGGACAGGUCUCUGCAGACACUCUCACCCACCCCUGUGCCAGAGGAGCAUGGAAUGAAGCAGGGGGAGAGGGGAGAGGUCAGCACAGAGCUGUCCUCGGGAAGGGCUGCUUUUCUGGGAAGGUCUCCUCUCCCAAAGCAGCAGGCAGCUCUGGCAUCUCUGGACAUGCCCACACUGGAGAGCAGGACAGCUGCAAGCUGCAUUUUGUGAGCAUUAAUGAGAGAAAUGCCAAGAACAGUCUGUGCUUUUGGGGCAAACCGUGUGGAUGCUUCAUCCUCUGAGCUGCACCCAUAGGGAAGAAAACGGGGAAACCCCCAACAAUUUGUCAUCAGCAGCUAAGAGAUUCAUCCACAGCACAAGGAAUUGCUCAUGUUGGGAGAGACAGACAUUUAACACCAGUGCCAUGUCACCAUGCCUCAUCCAUCUUCCACCGCAGGCUGCUGACCACCCUGUGCCUGCUGUCCCGGCCCGUUCCCCGGGAUGCAGAGCAAGAGGAGACCCUGCUCUGGCCUCCUGCCCUCCGCUCCAGGCUCCUUCCCAGGAGAAGCUCUGCAGCAGGAGCCAGAGGCUGGCCGUGCCUCGCAGCUGGGCACGCCUGCUCCCAUGGGAAAUGGGUGCUGGGGCCGGGAGAACAGCGAGUUCCCUCCGCAGAGUGAUCUCCUGCCAUCCACUGCCAGAUCCUGAACUUUGGCUCCGGCCAGGAGGCAGCAAACGAAGCAGAUAAUUGCUUGGCAGUGAGUGAUAGGGAGUCAAGGGUGAGCAGGCAGGGAGGGGUGGGGGAUGAGCGGGAGGAUUAUGUUUCAGAGGGAAGUAUUUUUUUAGGAUUUGUCUAUGCAGGCAUUCAGGAGCUUUUCUGAAUCACAUGGGCUUAGCCCCAGGAGAAGGAGGACUCGCUGUAAUUUUACACCUUUUCAGCAUUUCAGCUGAUUCUGCUGAAAUCUGUGUAGGGAUUAAAGAUGGGAAGGGACAGAGAAUUGAUUUCCUUGCCUUUGGUCUCUGGGACAAACAUUCAAAGCUAAAUCACAGUUUAGAAUAUUUUGAUGGCAGGAGUGGAGAGAGGAAGGAGCCAGCAGCUGACAGUAAUAAAUAACUAUUAGGAAACAGUAUUAGGAAAUAGUACCAAGGAGAAAUGUGUCUGCUGGGAUACGCUUUCAGCCUUGGGGAAUCCAUAUCCAGGCAGCUCAACAUUUACUUUAGUAUCCAGAGCUUGUGUGCAACUUCUCCCAGGCCCAGAGCAGCAGCAGCAGCAGCAGCGCUGAGGGAGCAGCCUGAGCUCAGGUCUCCAGUGAAGAAGGGAAGUCAGCUCAUUGCACGGACAAACAUCUCAGGCUUCCGCCCUCCAUGCCAAGGGUUAGCAACAGCACCGUGUCCUUCAGCAAAUCAACACUCCAACUGUCACCUGCAAAGGGAAGUGGAGCUUAUCUGUGGCCUAUUGCUAAAACUUUGAUACUGAUCUUUACAGCCAUGCUUCUAGUAAGCCUAGGGACAACCUGUGCAUCAUAAAUAGCUGAAAAGGAUCUGUCUGAGCUUAAACUGAACUGUCUGAACUUAAUCUGAUGUCUGAAUUCAGACACAGAGUAAAAAUCCAGUCCAAUGUCUCCUUAAUGUUUACAUUUUUACCAGGUUUGAGAUACACUUGCAGAGCUAUUCUAAUACAUUGAGGUAACGGAAAAUGUUCUUGGUUUUAUACACAAAUCUCCCUAAAUUAGAAAUGGUUUUCUGUUUCAAGCAUUCAAGCACCAGGCAGCCUGUUUCCCCCCUUCACUGGACAGUUUUCUCAGGGCAGGGUCCGCUGGGCAGAAAGACAAAGUGUGGUAAAAUGGGGUCAGACAGAGCCAAGUCCAGAGCCCAACACGCUGAAUGAGCACAGCAGCCCUUGAUCCCAUCACCCAGAAGGCAUCCUGGAGAUCAGAGAAGAGGCAGAAAUCCCAGCAAUCCCUCCCCACCCACCCUCCUGGGAAGCCCCCAGCUCCAAGGCAGGCAUCUCCCUGCCAUCAUCUGAGUCAGGAGCAAAAAUCCCCAGGAUGCAGCUGCCAGGGCAGCCGGGUCUAUUUUCAGCCAGCACCACCGAAAGCCUUCGGUGCAGAGCACACUCAGUGCCACUGUCACAGUGCCACAGCAUGCAUGGCUUCGUGCCACUGACUCAGCAGGCAUUUUAGCCUGUGGCUGGACAAGCCUGGACCAGCAGUGCAGUCACACGUUACAGCUGGAAGCAGGAUGUCAUGAGGAGGAGAACACAGGACACCAGUAUGCCCUUGUGGCAAAGAAGGCCAGCAGCCUGCUGGGCUGCUGUAGGAAAAUCAUUGCCACCAGGCCUGGGGAGAUGAACCUUCCCUGCUCUCAGCACUGGUGAGGCCACAGCUGCAGCCCAGUUCUGGGCUCCCCAGCACAGGAGAGGCAUUGAUGUACUGGACAGUCCAGUGAGCACUGCAGAGAAGGUGAAGGAACUGGAGCAUUUGCAAUAUGAGGAGACCAGGAGAAAUUGAAUUGUUCAGCCUGGAGGAGGCUUUAUGAGGAUCCUACUGAUGUGUAUGGGUCCCUGACCAGAGAAGGUUUAGAAGGUGGAGCCAGACUAUUCUCAGUGAUAUCUAGUGACAUUGAAAUACAUCAAGUUCCUCUUAGACAUAAGAGAACUUGUUUUUUUGUGAAGCUGGAACUGGUUUCCCCAAGAAGCUGUAAAGUUUCCAUCCCUGGAGAUUUUAAGAACCCAACUGAACCUGGGCAACCUGCACUCGUGGGCCCUGCUCUGAGCAGGAGGGCUGCACUGGGCUGUGUCCAGAGAUGCCUUCCAGCCUCAACUGCUCUGUCAUCCUGGGAACUGUGUGGUGGUGAAAACCACUUUGUUCAGGCUGUGCACAAGGCUGGUCUCUCACUGGCACAAACAGGAUAUUGACAUAGCAGUCCUCUUAUCCAAGAGGCAGCAGAUAAAAAGCACAAUGUAGAAAUGGAAAAUUGAACAUUAGAGCCAAUUGGGCACAUGCAAAGCUAUAGGUGGUGCUGUGUCCUAGUGUAUGUUUUUAUUUGAAGGUACAUAGCCAGCCCAAGCUCCUCUGUGCAGACCCCACAGAACUAGUCAUUGUUUGCCCAUAAUAUUGUAAAAACACCAGCCAAACUGAUGAAGAUUUUAAGCCUGUCUCUUCCUCUGCCCAGCAAUGUCCAGCAGCAGAUGCUGACAGAAAUAACACAAUAAAUGAAACACUAGUUGUGCCUUCCCUAGCACACCCUCCAAAUCCCAUCAACCAGCAAUUCAGGAACACCCUGUGCCAAGGCUUUGCAGCCCUAUCAGUUUUCAGUAGAUGCUGAUGAACUGUUCUUCUGUGAUUUUUUUUUGCAUUCUCUCUAAAUAUUGCUUGAUCUCCUCAUUGUAUAUCUUGUCCUGUGAGAAAUAUGAGUAAAUGCAUCCCCUUGACAUGGCACACCAUUCGUAAGAUCUACCUUGCAAUGUUCUUUUCCAAACUGGAGAGUCUGUACUGAAUGUGCCUCCCACAGGUAGCUUCAUUUAAUUAGACAAAUUUGAUCAAGACUGACUUGUCAGGGGUGUUCCAAGGACCUUUUUGUGACUAUAGCAAUGCUGAGUGUGCACAAAAGGCACUCGCCCACAAUGGGCAGAGAAAUGCAAGCACAGGAGAUUUAUCUAUCAUGGGUUACUUCUGGAAUACUCCCAGACACCUUGAAUCACCACUGCAAAAAUCACUUGUAUCAAAGCAGAAGGGGCCAGGAGGAAGUACAGCACAAGAGCCUCAGGGCACUGAUACAGCAAACCCAGAUGUUAUCAGAACAAGGAGCAUAAAGAAAAUUAUCAUUGGUAUCACUGGCUGGCACCAGUGUACCAGCUGCUGCUGUGUGCCCUUAAACUGCAGAUACACUGCCUGAAUUCCCACAAGAACCUGGGCAAUUAGAAAAUAACAUUUGAAUGCAAAUCUAGGCCUCUGAAAGCAAAAGAGUCCUCAGGGUAUAGAAAAUCAUGCUUGUGUUAAAAUCCUUCUCUCUUUCUGAGGCUGCACACAUUAGAGGCAAGGAAUUGGCAAAUUUUGUAUGGCAGAGUCUUUAGAGAUAUGAGCAGCUUUUUAAACAUUUCCAGGGUGCCUGGGUUUCAGUUUUUGAAUAAGCAAGCAGAUGUGUCUGAUGAGCCUUUGCAAAGCUCUUCUCCUGCCAUUGCUGUUGGAAAGCAGCCCCUCAUCCCUGAUUGUCUUCUGCCAUAUUUUACUUAGCUAAAAGCACCAAAUGAAAUCAACCAUGGUAAACAACAGAAUGUUAUCACGCAAAAUACAAAGCUCUGCAAAAACCUUAGAGUGGGAAGAAUACAGAAUAUAAUUAGGAUAAGUCAGGAUCUGAAAUAUUCAAGAAAAAAAGUGUUAAAAGGGAUAGUUUGGCAGAAGGAAAAGAGUCUACAGUUACUGGUAACAACUGAAGCAGUAGAGAGUGAAGGGAAUAUUUCAGUCUUCCAGGGCCAGUACUGCUUAAGGCCACAGACUGAAGAGGCUCAGCUGGUGACAGCACAGCCAAGGUAAAGUUGUUGAGCACCAAGCCAGAGGCCAGGACACAGACUGAGAGUGGGCUCCUUGCUGCUCAAAUGCAGGAGCUGUGCUCUCAAACCCAGCAGCUCAAUCCAAGGCAUUACUUGUCCCUGAUUUGGUCUCCAAGAAUUUUAUGUUUUUCACAGUCUGCAACACUUGGGAUUGAUAGGACUGGGGUGGAUGAGAGCACUAACCAUAGUGCACAGCUCAUGACCAAGCUUUGGGGAUCUAGCCUUCCUCUGCUCCAGCUCUUCCCAGCUUUCUGGGAGCUUAGGAGGUCAACAGGAUGCAGUUGACAGGGCAGCUGGAAUGGGCAGCUUUAAGCAUCACUGUCUGAAAUUUUAUGAAAGAAUAUACACUUCUGUCCCCCCCAAGAAGUGUCAGUAUUUCUGAGCACAUAAAUAGAAUUGAAAAUAAAUUUCAGCUUUAUAACACUUCUUAAAGCUGGAAGUUGCUCCUAGGUACCACAGCCUCAGCCUGGAAAUCAGAAAGAAGCCAGAGCAGCCACCAAAGCAGCACAGGGCAGCAUUUUGUGGUGAGGCAGCACAGAGCCAUCAGAGCAGACCUGGUCAUCUUAAAACUAGCUGGGAUUUGGCCUCAGUAAACCCAGAACUGUGUUUAAAACCAUUUGAGAGGUUUAUAUCCUGUAAUCACUUCCCCAAACCAGUACUAACUCAGUGUUCACACCAAGUAUUGCAUCCAUCAGAGGAGGAACAGCAGCCACUGCUGAGCACUGCGGAGUGGGGAAGGCCCCUGGUGGUACAGUGGCAGUGAAAUGCAGAAGCAGCUCCAUGUGACUGAGAUUUUCCUACAUCAGGGGCUACCCCUCCUGCCCUGUAAAACACAAGAGGUGGACUCUGAGGAAGGCAGGUUCCCUUCUGUUCUUCCCAAAAAUAACUGGGAAGGAAAGUAGAAUUCAAGGCUUCUCCACAGCAUUAAGUUCUUAGGGCUGCCCCUGCCUGUGGAAAGCCAAGAUGAAGGCUGUGUCCUCAUGGUACAGGCCAACAGACCAUGCCAGGUACUUUCUACAAAGUAUGUGUAAUUUGUUCCAAGAUGUGCUAUUUAGUGUGUUGCUUUAUAGUUAAAAAUUUGCAUCCACAAUGCAGCACCUAAAAGGACUUGUAUGACAAACAUGCCAAGUGCAGAAUAUUCCUUUCCAUUGUUCAUGUCAGAAAUUGAAAAGCUAAAAGGCAAGGGGUUAGCAAUCAAAGACAGCACAGCACAGCUUAUUUACCAAUCAAUCUGAGAAUUAAGAAUUGAAAUUUUUUGCAAAACUUAGCAUGCAUGACCAUGCAAAAAGUAAAUGAACCAAAGCACACAUUCUAGCCAAGCAGCACCUAGUUUUAUUGAGUUCAAAUAACACUGCAUCACAACCAAAAUAAAUUAAAAUUUGCUUUUUGCUUCUCAGUAUUAGUCACUUCUCAAAUGAAAAUGUGAUCAUGUUUAAUAAGAGUAAGAUAAAACCAAGGAACAGGAGGAAGAAUAAAGUUAGACAAAAAUGCAGAGCCAGUGUCCUCUUCAUGUGUCCCCCUCGUGUCAGAGAAAUUCAGUUCUUGGAAAUGCUGUUAAAUUUUCUCACAUCAAUGUCAGGGAUUGAAUCCCAGGACACAGUAUUUGAUGAAUCAAAUAUAUCACAGAUUGCUAUGAGCUGUGCUGCACUUUUGAAAUCACAUUUGGGCUCUCUUCAAUGGGACAGAAAGGAUUUGAGAGAAAAGUUCAGGUUAAUCAAACACAUCUCCCCACUGGCUCCCUCAGUAAAGCUUAGUACAAAUGUUAAACAUAAUGCAUUUUGUGUCCUAGUUCCACAGAAAAGAUCAGCGUGCAAGACCUGAUAUGGUACCUGCAACACCCUCAACCCACUGGGACAUAGCUCUGGCCUCCCCUGCUGAGCUGUGCUUGCUGCUGUACAUGCACAGGAGAUUAAAGCCAGUGUUAACACAGAAACAGCCACAACUGAAAAAGUACAGGAGAUGAGAACAUUGUCUGACAUUGCUUGCAGGCACAACCAUGUGCAGCUGCUAACUUAUGCCCUGAGAGUUAAGUAGAUGCUGCACAAAAAUUAUUUUAAGGAGGUUUUUCAGCAUUAAUAGCUACAUGUUUCUUCAGUAAAUAAAGAAUUACAUUUUAAGAUGUGUCCUCUUCUUCCAUGAGGAAGUACUUAAAGUAGCACAUGUGACAGUGACAGCUGUGUGUUAGCAGUGUCACUGCUGUGGCUGGCUCAGAAGAUUUGUCACCCCUAGCUCCUCACCAACUCUGUCAGAGUCACAGCUUGCAUUUCUGACUGGCACAUAGCACCACCUAAAGAUUGUGAGAAAGGCAAAAAGGUAUUAGGCAAACAAUUAUUCCUGAAAUAUUAAGUGAUCAUUAAUUUAUUCCUCUGAGGCAGAUUUGCACUCUCUUCCUUCUCUCUCUUCUCCAGACUUCCUAGUCUUCAUAGACCAGGUGCAAUCCAGUUAAGAAACUUCAUAGCGACUUCAAAACCAAGAAAACAUGCCUGGAAAAGAGAACACAGAACAAAUAAGGAUUCUAAAAAUCUCUUUCAAAUAAGGCUUUUGAACUGUUGCACUAUGAACACCUGAUGUGUUUAUAUGGAAGGAAGAGGACAAAAAAAGUCUUGACCCAGAAGCAACAAUUCUACUGUAUCCCUCCACACAAAGGCUGAGCUUUGGCUCUGUUAGGCUCAUUAUUUAUUGAAGGGGAAGUGAGUCCAAACUUAUUCCAUCUUCUACAGUUGGAUGUACAACCAGUAGCUAAAAACUAUCAGAGAAAUUCAACAAAGAGCUUCCAUGCAAAGCUUUGAAGAAAGAUUUACUUGUUGCUCCUAGAUUAAAGCACAGUUUUAGAAUCUGGACACCAACAACCAAAAGUACCUGUGACAGGUGUACAAGAACAUGUCUGGAAUGGCACAAGAGUGAACAGGCAGAGUGUGUGUGUGUCCUCUCCAGACUGCCAGCACUCACUGUGAGCACCACGUCCCCAAACCCAGCCGAACUACAGUGUACUCACCGCGUUGGCAGGAAAGGCCCUGAUCAUCACAGCUGUGAACCCCUUGUACAGAGAUGCAACUCCUUCCUCUCUGAUGAGCUCCCUCAGCACAUCUCUAAAGCCAUUUGGGUAUUUUCCUGCAGGAGCUGAAAGGGAUGCACAGCACAUUAGCCCAGAUGUGUGGCAGUGACAAAGGCUGAAGGAUGUGCCAUAGGUAAGAGCCCAGGAUUUUCAACAGGUUCACACUGCUAUUGCAAACAGACAAGAGAGCUCAGUAAAGGCUCAGUGAACAGAAGUUAGGUGCUCACCAUAACCAAAGAAUCAAGUCAUUGCAGGCAGGGAAGAAAGGAGAAUAAUUUUUGUCGGGGUUGGAAGUCUGAGCUGUUACUUGCACUGCUGAUCACAGCUCUCCCAAGAGCUGCACUUGGCUGAUAGGAAUGUCAGAUAGAAAAACUGAUGAAGCUGGUUAAUAAGAAAAUGAUCCUAUCACAUGCCCCAGCCAAGAACACCAACAGACUUCAAAUGAAAAGCACAGGAUGUUCUAAUGCUGAUGUUACAUGGAUAUGCUGAGGUGUUUUUCAAAAGCUACUCUACUCAAAAAACAAUUUCUUCCUUCUCCUGACACUGCCCUGGGAAAUGCUGCCUCUGCCAGCCCUCUGAAGAGAUAAUCCACAGAUCAGUUAAACUGAACCACCAUGACCCAUGUCAUCCACAUAGCAGCACUGGGGACUGGCUCAGUGGAACAGGAUCAAAGCUGUAAUGGGUUUCUCUCAGCUCUUGUUAUGGCACAAACAACCACAGCAGCCAUUUCUCAGAGAAAAAGAAAUGAGGUUUCCUGCACUGACCAUCAUGAUCUGUGACUCAAGAAAAAUGGUCACUGUCCAGUGGAAAGCUGAGUCCACAGAGACCAUGGGGAGCCUUAACAAAAAUAUUCAUUGACAGGACUGGCAGAGAAACCAACAAAAAACCUGUCAAACUCUGCUGAAGCACAAGGUCUGGGGUUAUACUAACUGUAAUUAGGCCACAGACAUUAAAGAACAGAGCUGCCAGUCCAAAAGCAACGCUCUCAGUAUGUCACACCCUGUUACUAUAAACUGCAGAUAGCACAGGCUACAAUUUAUACAAUUAUGUCUGAAGUGAAAUAAUAAAAACUCUCAAAAAAUUGCAUUUGUUAUAAAACAGCUAUGACAAUUCAAUUAUGAGUUCUAUGCUUAGGUUUCAAAUCAGGUACCCCAAAUCAAGGUCAUUAUAUCAUCAAGGAUUCAGAAACAGAGCAGUGCAACCAAAAAUUUGUAAGGAAACCAGCUAGAAUGCUAGGAACACCCUUGGGUUUUUCAUACACUUGUUUCAAGCAGCACUCAAGACCUGCUGCCUCCCAGAAGGCAUCUUCCAUCCCUGCCCAGCCCACUCCCAGGAGCACCACAGCGAGUGUGGCUGUGACACUGGAAUGCAACUCACCAGUCUGGAAACGUGAUUUCAGCACGUCUGGUGGAAUGGCAACUGCCCAGUUGAAGAUCCCAGCCAGACCCCCAGCAAAGAGGAUCCUAGGCACACUGAGGUCACUCACGCUGCGGCAGGAUCAGAGUGGGGUGGGAGGAAAAAGUGAAAAAAAAAGAUUUAAAAAGGACAAAAAUGUCAAACUCACUGUUUGACUAAGAUGACAAUCAAAAAGACAGCCUGGCUGGCAGCCAGAAGGCAGCACAAUGCUGCAGACAGAGUGCAGUAUCUGAGCAACCCUUCCAAGAUGGACCAACUCCACGCUAAAGAUUCAAAUCUUUUUAUUCAGCAGCACACACACACAUGCUCUGGGAAAAAAAAAACAACAAAAAAACAAACCAAAAACCAAACCAACCAACCAACCCCCCACAAAAAUUCCACCAAAGCCCCCCAGCAUGUAGUGUCCAUAGAGAGUUGAAACUACUUUAAGUGUUCCUUACUUGGCUAAUAAGAUCCAAACUGCAAUCUGAGAGAAACUCAGAAUAUUAUUUUAAUUGUCAGUUAACCCCUGACCAAAACAGUUCAACUCACUAGAUGAGCAACCAUUUUUCUCUUUUUAAAAUUUGUUUUGAUGAUACUGCUGUAAAUCUCUUCGUAGCUGGGGAGAUUAAUCAGCAGUGUCUGGGAAGCUCAGGGAGUGAUGCCUGUGAGAUUUCACUGACCUCUUUCCCUCAGGGGUCAGAAUGUUCUUCAGCCACUCGUACGUCAUGAAGUACAUUCCGCUGGCCGGGACGUCUGGUGGGUAAACAACAAAGGCUGUGAGGAGUGGGAAACCAAAGGGAGCCCAGAGGCACAGCAGCCCCAUGCCAGCCCAGCAACACCACUAAGUACAUACAGAUUCCUUUUCUCAACCUCUUCUACAAACAAAAUAAAAAUUUUCUGCUGCCUUAGACAGAGGAGUCUGAACUUUCCCAUGGAGAGCAGGUGCUAACGGCAAGAACCGGAAAAUAACUUUUCUGUCAGCAGCCUUUCAAACCAGACUGUAACUGGUUGCAUUACACUAAUGAUGAGACAGCUCUAAACUGUCCACAUUUCUGCACAGCACAUCACAGCAGUGUAGGAACUUCAUGAAUUUUGCACACUAUUAGUUCUAAUGACUCUGUUUGGCAAUUAUUUUCUGCAGUUUUGUUUUUUUUUUAAGCUACUGCCACAGCCUAUUCUUAUCCCAUACCUAAACUGGAGAACCAGCCCCUAUCUAGGGACACUGCCAGAGUUACACUGCAGGCUGCUACACUUGUGUGAGAAGCAGAGGAUAGAACUAAUUCCUAUACUGAAGUAACAAAAUACAGAAAUUUCAGUUUUUCAAAGGGGAAUUACUAAAAUACGUAAAGGGUUCUGGGUCUGGCACAAUUACUUAGUUGUUGUUGUAUUUUAGAGAGGGGUCAUGACAUCCCAGUUCAAAAUAACCCAGACUGAAAAGGGCAGAAAGUAUAACUGCUGCCACCACAGAUUUUAAAGCAGUCAGUAUUAUACAGCAACAGCCACAGACAGGCACAAUCCUUCUCUCAAGGAGAAAUAAAAGAAAAAAAGAAGGAAAUAAUUUUUUAAAAAAGCCCACUUCUGUAUUUUUCUCUUCUCUUUGUUCUCUCUGCUCCUCUCCUGAAGUGUCUCAUUCCUCUUGGCUUCUCAGAUCUUAAUUACUUCCUAUAUCCCUCUGAUCCUUGUCAUCUAAUCUCUUCCUCACCCACUGAGAAUCUCAUGUUUAUUUCUCAGGCCCUUUGAGGCACUGGAGUAGCUCUGCAGACUGAAAAAAAAAAAAAAGAAAA